GAGAUGCGCUCCGAGCAGCUGAAGCCCUCAUUGCUGCCAGCCAAUAAAAUUGUAGGCCAUAUCAAGAGGAGCAUCACGACCAGGGACACGCAGGUGGCUCGGACAGAAACACAGAAGGAGAUAAAGGUAAAGGGGUAGCUAACAAAAGUUCAAGCUCAUCGGACAGCGACAGUGAUGUUGAGCUGCUCGAUCCGAGCGUUCACCUAGUAAGGACAAUCUUUCGGGCUGAAAGGAGAGGUUCGUAUCCGAGCUUUUGUACCAUCAAUUAUGCGAACUAGUGAAAAAAAUAUAUUUGGGUUUUGGCCCCAUGCAUAUGACUAACACAAGUGGCAAUUUCAAUUGCAGGGGAAAGCAUAGAAGCUCCAGCAACUAGCGUACGGAUCCCGGGGGUGGGGGCGGGUGCACGUUCUACAGGCAAGUUGUCUACUACAAUGAAAAAGGGGUUGUAAAUAAAAAAGGUUACUCUGAGAUAUGCAAAAACAUGAAGCUGACCGCCACCAUUUAAACUUGCAGGUCCACGUAGCCUUAACCGCUUCAGGCAACGGCUGCUUAUGAGGAAUAACAGCAACAAUGAAGUGGGUACAAGCAACACCGGUGUUCUGGCUGUCAAUCAAGACCGGGGUGCUUUGCUAAGGAGCAGGGGGAGCACCUUAGAGCAGAGUUGUCUGAGAUUGAAGCUCAAGCAAAGUCUGACCUUGAGUGUGAGUACCUAUAAACUGCUUUUAUACCUUGCACUACCCGCAGCUACGCUAUGAAAUGAGUAUCAUAUAUACCAAAAAAGGUUCUGUGGGUACUUAAACCAAUGUGCCAUCUAUUUCACAGAUGCCAGAUCGCAUGGAGUUAUCAAACCUAGAGAGGCGAGGCCUGGCUGUACUGGAGUUGACUGUCCACAUGGAGGCAAUGACGAGGAGAGGAAGGAUCGUGUGUGCAACUUAGCUGCGGCUGCGCUGGCUGUAGUGGAGCAAGCUAUGGACAAUCCAGAACUCUUUGAAGGAAUAUUUGACCAGGCCAGAGCGGUGCUUUCGGGACUAGGUGUUGAAGGAUAUACUGAAGAUGUACCUCAGAUGAAUGGAAACGACAACAAUACACCACAACGUGAAGAGAAUGAUGGGAUCAAUUGGGAAGAUCUAGAGAGGGAGAGCCAGGAACUUGUGGAAGUGGGAAACUGUUAGCCAUGCACUGAUGCACAACUGACCAUCAUCGCCCCUGCUGUCAAUGGUGAUAGCGUUAGCUCAGGGGCUCCUUAUCAUGGAGGGCGUGGAGGAAAUACACGACAGGGUGAUGUGGACAGCAGCAGGAAAUGUCGGUAGAUGGAGGUAUGAUUUCUAUGGUUAAUUUCCUGUACUGGUCUGAAAGCGUUGCACACGAAAAAGGGCAUAUGAAAAAAGCUAAGACUUCCUUCUUGUGUUUCAACAACUGGUAAUGAUUUGAUGGGCGUAUCAUCGCUGGUACCAAGUGAUUAUAUGUAAGAAGAAGAGGAUGGAAUAGGUGUGCAAGCCUAACUUCGUACAAUAUGACCUAGAAAGAAAAAGUCUCUUAUUUAAACAUAAGUGCAAAAAAAAUGAAGAAAAAAAUUCCGUUGCCAUUUAACACUUUUGUGUUUUUUCCAGAGUUGGACGAUGAGUUCCUGGCUGUGGCAACGCAGGUGCCCAUAGAUUACACAAUGCAUAGCGAGGAACUAAAUAAUGAGAACAAUUUGUUUGGCCUGAAUAACUUAAGGGACAUGCUUGCUGCACUGAAUACAUGCAUCAGAUGGAUAGCAUGGAUAGCAGCAACGAUGUGGUUGGGAGCGCAAGGCCGGGAGAUGAUGAAGAUGAAGACCCUCCUCCCAAUGGGCCAAUCUUAUUGGGUUGGCGUGGCACUGAAUACUGAGAAGAUGCCCGUCCCAGCAGACAAGAACUUCUUGACCGAG